rnacentral:lncRNA from 1 species
AACAUUAAGAAAAUUGAAAUCAUAUCAAGCAUCUUUUCUGACCACAAUGCUAUACGACCAGAAAUCAACAACAAGAAAAAAACUGCAAAAAACACAAACACAUGGAGACUCAACAACAUGCCCAAAUAGUUAUAUAACAAAACUAUUCGCCAGAGUACUACUCGCAACAGCCUAAAACUCAAAGGACUUGGCGGUGCUUCACAUCCACCUAGAAGAGCCUGUUCUAUAAUCGAUAAACCCCGAUAGACCUUACCAACUCUUGCCAAUUCAGCCUAUAUACCGCCAUCUUCAGCAAACCCUAAAAAGGAACAAUAGUAAGCACAAUCAUAACACAUAAAAACGUUAGGUCAAGGUGUAGCUUAUGAGUUGGAAAGAAAUGGGCUACAUUUUCUGCAUAAGAAUAUUCACCGUACGAAAGUUUUUAUGAAACUAAAAACCAAAGGAGGAUUUAGCAGUAAAUUAAGAGUAGAGUGCUUGAUUGAAUAAGGCCAUGAAGUACGCACACACCGCCCGUCACCCUCCUCAAGCAUAUAGUAAUACAAAAUAACCUAUAUUUAAUUACAUAAUCAUGCAAGAGGAGACAAGUCGUAACAAGGUAAGCAUACUGGAAAGUGUGCUUGGAUUACCAAAGCAUAGCUUAAACUAAAGUACCUAGUUUACACCUAGAAGAUCCCACAAUAUAUGGGUGCUUUGAACUAAAGCUAGCUCAACAUACUAAAUAAAUACAAAAAUACACCAAAAUAAAAUAAAACAUUCACCUAACAUUAAAGUAUAGGAGAUAGAAAUUUUUAUCCUGACGCUAUAGAGAUAGUACCGUAAGGGAAAGAUGAAAGAAUAAAAUAAAAGUAAAAAAAAGCAAAGAUUACCCCUUCUACCUUUUGCAUAAUGGUUUAACCAGAAAAAAUCUAACAAAGAGAACUUUAGCUAGAUACCCCGAAACCAGACGAGCUACCUAUGAGCAGUUUAAAAGAACCAACUCAUCUAUGUGGCAAAAUAGUGAGAAGACUUGUAGGUAGAGGUGAAAAGCCUAACGAGCCUGGUGAUAGCUGGUUGUCCGAGAAAAGUCUAAAAAGGUACAGCUUUUUAGAAACGGAUACAACCUUGACUAGAGAGUAAAAUCUUAAUACUACCAUAGUAGGCCUA